ACAACUUCAACUUCACUUUAUUUCAAAUUUGAGAGUUGAAGGACAGAAUCCAGAAUCCUUGUUCUGGACAAGCUACAAGUUCUAAUUUUGUUUUCUUUUCAGUGUUUAAUUCCCUAUUUUUAUUUCUUCAGUGUUUCGGUGCUCAGCUGUGAUGAAGGGGAAAACAAACAUGGAAUUUUAGGCUACAAAAGGCCGUAACUUUGGAAGAUCCAGCACUUGCUUCAGCUUAUUCAGCUGCAAGUCAGGCCACAACCACCACCAGCAACACCACAUCCAGCACACCAUCUACAUCCAGUGACACACAGCCUGAAGCAGUUGUGAAUGACCUUAGAGACCCCAAUUAGACGCUGUGCUUUUUGAAACAAAGCCUUAUUCCAGACAUCUGAAUUGCUGCCCAUGUGACUUUUUUACGCAAACAGCAGUAACGGCACUGACAAACUGCUCCCUCCAGCUGCUGCUCCCCACCACCAAGGCCAGGUCUGCUAUCAACAUGACAGGCAUCCCAUCAAAGUGUAACAAAAUGAAUCAUUUAAACUUUGGACUGUGGCUGCUGACAC